rnacentral:rRNA from 1 species
ACAAACCGGAGGAAGGUGGGGAUGACGUCAAGUCCUCAUGGCCCUUAUGGUAGGGCUUCACACGUCAUACAAUGGUCGGUACAGAGGGUUGCCAAGCCGCGAGGUGGAGCCAAUCCCUUAAAGCCGAUCGUAGUCCGGAUCGUAGUCUGCAACUCGACUACGUGAAGUCGGAAUCGCUAGUAAUCGCAGAUCAGCAUGCUGCGGUGAAUACGUUCCCGGGUCUU